CCCCACCCGCAAGUCAGCCUUCAUUCUUAGUGCUCAGGCUGGUCACAACUUUUCUUAGUUCUUCAGCUUGUUCACUUGUCAUAUUGACAGUGAUCGUGGCUAGUCCUAGGACAUAGUAUUUCCAGACGCACUUCACAUAUAAUUUAGAUUUCCGUAUUAUAUAUGUUUCUCUGGCAUUUUCGGCCGGUAAAAUGGAUUCAAGACAUACGGUGAAGGGAAAGAAGAAGUUGGUUCUUUCAGCCAGGAGAAUGAAAAGGCGGCUACCACCAGAAUUUCAUGCUAACAGACGUAGAAGGAUUGAAGAACAAACCUUAUCGCUCGAAGCGCCUUCAUCUUCCCAGGCUGACAGUGUUUCAGCAGAUGCCAUUUCUGUAUCCACUGAGAACUUUCAACCCAGUGCAACGUCAACUCCUAAAUGAAAGAAGAGAAGACUACACAACAGAAAAGUACCAGUGCAUUUGAUGAAAUUGAGAUUACAGCAAAAGAAAUCUAAAGGAGAAGAAAAAUCAGGGCCAUCAACAUCUUCUUCCACCUUAUAGUCAAACCUAAAAAAAAGCGUCCUUGAUGGCACCUCUGAUUUUGCUACAAUUGUGCCACCAUUCCCCUCAAUUGGUCUACAACCAGCUUUGAACCAUGAGAUUGAUACCACCUCAAUGCGAAAUAGUGGAGUUUCUUACGUGGAGAGUAACGUCUGUGAUACUUUACUAACAAGAUAUGAUGAGUAUCCAGAUCUAAUAGUUGAGCCGGAUGGAAGACCACCCAAAGACGAUUUUAAUAUUAUUUCUGGCCGAUUUAUUGUGGACGGCAAACAUCUUGUGCAAGAAUUGAGAUCUUUGGACUACCAUAGAUACGAGUGUGAAAAAAGUGAUAAUGGUUAUAUGACACUGGUGUCUUCAACUUCAAAAUCAUCAGAAUGGACAAUGAAGUUCGUUGUAUGGACAGCUCCACGAACCAGCUGCCAUAAAUGCGUUUCAAGAAAUGGAAGAAAUUCAAGUUCAGCCUUGCGGUUUGUUUGUUGACAAAGAACAUGACUUCUUGGCGGCUUCACCUGACGGACUGGUCGGAGGUGAUAAUCUGAUUGAGGUGAAAUGUCCGAAGUCUGCUGAAAACCUCACUAUCAGCGAAGCCGUGAUCAAAGUGAAAUCAUUCUGCUUGGAAAAACUACGUUGUGAAAACGUCCGUCUCAAGAAAACCACAAUUAUUAUUACCAGGUGCAAGGGCAACUACAUGUAGCUGAGAAAAAAUCUGUUAUUUUGUAGUAUGGA